AAUAGAUACCCCGGUAGUCCACGCCGUAAACGAUGGAUACUAGCUGUUCGUCCGCCUCGGCGGAUGAGUGGCUAAGCGAAAGUGAUAAGUAUCCCACCUGGGGAGUACGAACGCAAGUUUGAAACUCAAAGGAAUUGACGGGGGCCCGCACAAGCGGUGGAGCAUGUGGUUUAAUUCGAUGAUACGCGAGGAACCUUACCAAGGCUUAAAUGUAGAUUGACAGGACUGGAAACAGUUUUUUCUUCGGACAAUUUACAAGGUGCUGCAUGGUUGUCGUCAGCUCGUGCCGUGAGGUGUCAGGUUAAGUCCUAUAACGAGCGCAACCCUGUUGUUAGUUGCCAGCGAGUCAAGUCGGGAACUCUAACAAGACUGCCAGUGUAAACUGUGAGGAAGGUGGGGAUGACGUCAAAUCAUCACGGCCCUUACGCCUUGGGCUACACACGUGCUACAAUGGCCGGUACAGAGAGCAGCCACUGCGCGAGCAGGAGCGAAUCUAUAAAACCGGUCACAGUUCGGAUCGGAGUCUGCAACUCG
rnacentral:rRNA from 1 species